rnacentral:rRNA from 1 species
GAUGAACGCUGGCGGCGUGCCUAAUACAUGCAAGUCGAGCGAAUGGAUUAAGAGCUUGCUCUUAUGAAGUUAGCGGCGGACGGGUGAGUAACACGUGGGUAACCUGCCCAUAAGACUGGGAUAACUCCGGGAAACCGGGGCUAAUACCGGAUAACCUUUUGAACCGCACGGUUCGAAACUGAAAGGCGGCUUCGGCUGUCACUUAUGGAUGGACCCGGCUCGCAUUAGCUAGUUGGUGAGGUAACGGCUCACCAAGGCAACGAUGCGUAGCCGACCUGAGAGGGUGAUCGGCCACACUGGGACUGAGACACGGCCCAGACUCCUACGGGAGGCAGCAGUAGGGAAUCUUCCGCAAUGGACGAAAGUCUGACGGAGCAACGCCGCGUGAGUGAUGAAGGCUUUCGGGUCGUAAAACUCUGUUGUUAGGGAAGAACAAGUGCUAGUUGAAUAAGCUGGCACCUUGACGGUACCUAACCAGAAAGCCACGGCUAACUACGUGCCAGCAGCCGCCGUAA